GCAGUGAAAGGUUAGUUGAUCUCGAAAAGAAGGUCUCUGAAGAGCAAAGAGUUAUAGAUCCUCAGGAAUCCGUUAUCCAUGAGCUAGUAGUAGAUAUUCCUCAACCACCUCGUAGAUCUAGUAGGAUCUCCUGACCUUUUGAAAGGUACAUGGGUAUACUUACGGAGGAAGUAAAGGUUAUGGGAGAUAGGGGUCAUGGUGAUGA
rnacentral:lncRNA from 1 species